UACGAAGGGGGCUAGCGUUGCUCGGAAUCACUGGGCGUAAAGCGCACGUAGGCGGCUUUUUAAGUCAGGGGUGAAAUUCCUGGAGCUCAACUCCAGAACUGCCUUUGAUACUGAGAAGCUUGAGUCCGGGAGAGGUGAGUGGGAACUGCGAGUGUAGAGGUGAAAUUCGUAGAUAUUCGCAAGAACACCAGUGGCGAAGGCGGCUCACUGGCCCGGUACUGACGCUGAGGUGCGAAAGCGUGGGAGCAACAGGG
rnacentral:rRNA from 1 species